UUUAAAUGCCAGUAUAUUUGGACACAGUAAAUCAAAUGCAGACUUCCCUUUUAUGGAUUAUACAUUACCAUGGGAAGAACGAGUGGAUGAUCUAGUUAAACGACUUACAUCUGAAGAAAUUAUGUACCAGCUAGCCUUUGCUGGACACGUACCGUUUGGUCCAGCACCAGCUAUUUCACGACUUGGGAUUAAACCCUAUACUUGGGACACCGAAUGUGAACGAGGUGAUGUCGGCGCGGGUCCUGCCACAAGUUUUCCAGAAAAUAUCGGUCUAGGUGCUUCAUUCAGUCGAAGUUUAAAUUAUCGAGUAGCUGAAGCUACAGCUCUUGAGGUGCGAGCUAAAUAUAACGACUAUAUACAACAUGGAUCUUAUCAAGACCACCAAGGUCUCAGUUGUUAUAUGGGAACUAGUAAUAUUAUGAGAGACUCAAGAUGGGGAAGAAACCAGGAAACAAACGGGGAAGAUCCAUACCUUACUGGCAGUAUUGGUUCAGCUUUUGUUCAAGGUUUACAAGGAAAUGAUAAAAACUUGAGAUAUAUCAGAACCAGUGCUUGUCCUAAACAUCUUGCUGUUUAUAGUGGCCCGGAGGAUAUUCCGUACUUUCGAUACAAUUUUACUGUCUCUCCAACACAAAGAGAUCUGCAUACGUCAUAUCUUCCAAUGUUUAGACAGAUGAUUCAAGCUGGGGCUUACAGUAUCAUGUGUACUUAUACAAG